rnacentral:misc_RNA from 1 species
UUGUUUGUUUUUGUUUUUUACAUUCAUCAACAAAGUAGUGUAGGUCCGGAGACACAGUUCACAUUGUCAUGGGUAUAAGAACCAAUAAUGAUCCUUCCGCAGGUUCACCUACGGAAA